rnacentral:lncRNA from 1 species
CGAGAUGCUGCCCAGCAUUUACAGGAAAAGGCCUCUGAAAUCAGACAACGCCUUUCAAACUCUUAUACCAACCUCUGGAGUUGGGUGACAUGACUUCUCCCCUUUCUAGGUCCCGUGACAGCCAUCUUGCUAUUACUCGCCUUCCAGCCCUGUAUUUCUAACCUCCUUGUCAAAUUUGUUUCCUCUAGGAUCGAGGCCAUCAAGCUACAGAUGGUCUUACAAAUGGAACCCCAAAUGAGCUCAACUAACAACUUCUACUAAGGACCCCUGGGCCAACCCACUGGCCCUUUGACUGGCCUAAAGAGUUCCCCUCUGAAGGACACUACAAUUGCAGGGACCCUUCUUUGCCCCUAUCCAGCAGGAAGUAGCUAGAGCGGUCAUUGUCCAAUUCCCAACUGCAGUUGGGGUGUCCUGUUUAGAGGGGGGAUUGAGAGGUGAAGCCAGCUGGACUUCCUGGGUCGAGUGGGGACUUGGAGAACAUUUCUGUCUAGCUAAAGGAUUGUAAAUGCACCAAUGAGCACUCUGUAAAAAUGCACCAAUCAGCGCUCUGUGUCUAGCUGAAAGAUUGUAAAUGCACCAAUCAGCACUCUGUAAAAACAUACCAAUCAGCGCUCUGUGUCUAGCUAAAGGAUUGUAAACGCACUGAUCAGCACUCUGUAAAAUGGACCAAUCAGCGUUCUGUAAAAUGGACCAAUCAGCAGGACAUGGGUGGGGCCAAACAAGGGAAUAAAAGCUGGUCACCCCAGCCAGCAGUGGCAAGCCACUCGGGUCCCCUUCCACACUGUGGAAGCUUUGUUCUUUUGCUCUUCACAAUAAAUCUUGCUGUUGCUCACUUUUUGGGUCUGCACUACCUUUAUGAGCUGUAACACUCACCACAAGGGUCUGCAGCUUCAUUCCUUGAAGUCAGUGAGUCCACAAAUCCACCAGGAUGAACAAACAACUCCGGAUGCACCACCUUUAAGAGCUGUAACACUCACUGCGAAAGUCUGCGGCUUCACUCCUGAAGUCAGCGAGACCAUGAUCCCACUGGAAGGAAGAAACUCCAGGCACAUCUGAACAUCUGAAGGAACAAACUCCAGACACACCAUCUUUAAGAGCUGUAACACUCACCACGAAGGUCUGCAGCUUCAUUCUUGAAGUCAGCGACAUAAGAACCCACUGGAAGGAAUAAAUUCCGGACACAUCAGCACUAUUCAGAGAGGCUGGAAGGUAGUGGUGCAAUCACAGCUUACUGCAGCCUUUACCUCCUGGCUGAAGUGAUCCUUCCACCUCAGCCUCCUGAGUAGCUGAGACUACAGGGGGCCUACAGGAGAGGCCAGUACUCUUCUCUAUUGAAGCUGCAUGUACACUUGGCCCAGGACUCAGACCCAAAGGGAGGAGAUCUCAUGGGAGCUGGAGGAACUGUGGGUCCUGGCACUGCCGCAUGCCAGUAAGACUAGAGAGGCUCUCCUUCUGGCUUUGAAGAGGUAAGCUGUCAUAUGUGAGGGAGCAUGUGACAAGGAACCAUGCAGAUCUCCACAAAGCUGAGAGAAGCCUCUGGUUGACAGCCAGCAAGGAAGAGGAGAUCUCAGUCCUGCAACUACAUAGAACCAAAUUCUGUCAACGCCGACUUGACCUUGAGCUCCAGAAAGGAAUGCUGUAUGGAUGACAUCUAACUGGUUUGGCUCAGGGUCUCAUUGCAGCUUUGUGAGAACUUCAGCAAAACCAGUUAGGUUGUACCCAGAAUCCUUACCCAUAGAAACAAAGAUAAUAAAGGUAUGCUGUUUUAAGCUUCUAAGCUUGUGGUAAACUGGUUUGCAGCAAUAGAGAACUAAUACAUCAGGGGGCAAAUCCAGAAAAUACAUUAUGAACAAGACAUAAAUGGAAAAUAAGAACAAAAUUUUAUAGAUACUACAGAUAGG